AUUUUGUGGUCAAGCUACAAAGGGCUGAUGGUGGAUACCUAGGCACACAGAGGCGACGAAGGACGUGGUUACCGACGAUAUGCCCCGGGGAGUUGGAAGCAGGCAUUGAUCCGGGGGUUUCCGAAUGGGGCAACCCUACAUACUGUUACCUGAAUCUAUAGGGUAGCAAGAGCGAACGCAGCGAAUUGAAACAUCUUAGUAGCUGUAGGAAGAGAAAACAAACGUGAUUCCCUUAGUAGCGGCGAGCGAAGCGGGAAGAGCCUAAACCAGAUUGCAUGCAGUCUGGGGUUGUGGGACAGCGACAUGGACGCGAGCGGUUAGACGAAGCAGCUGAAUACUGCAUCAGAGAAGGUGAAAAUCCUGUAGUCGAAAACUUAACGCUACUAGCUGGAUCCCGAGUAGGUCGGGGCACGUGAAAUCCCGAUUGAAUCCGCGAGGACCACCUCGUAAGGCUAAAUACUCCUGUGUGACCGAUAGUGAACCAGUACCGCGAGGGAACGGUGAAAAGAACCCCGGGAGGGGAGUGAAAUAGAACAUGAAACCAUCAGCUUACAAGCAAUCGAAGCACGAUUUAACGUGUGACGGUGUGCCUGUUGAAGAAUGAGCCGGCGACUUAUAGGCACUGGCAGAUUAAGCCGGGAAUGGCGAAGUCAAAGCGAAAGCGAGUCUGAAGAGGGCGUUAGUCAGUGUUUAUAGACCCGAACCCGGGUGAUCUAACCAUGUCCAGGAUGAAGCUUGGGUAACACCAAGUGGAGGUCCGAACCGACUGAUGUUGAAAAAUCAGCGGAUGAGGUGUGGUUAGGGGUGAAAUGCCAAUCGAACCC
rnacentral:rRNA from 1 species